CAGGGUCCUGGGAGAGUAGGACGUUGCCAAGCA
rnacentral:rRNA from 1 species